GUGCUUGCUUUGGUGGUAUAUAUAUUAAAAUUGUAAUGAUACAGAGAAGAUUAGCAUGGCUACUGUGGAAGGAGGAUACACAAAACAUGAAAAUGCUGAGCUAGGCA
ensembl:snRNA U6 U6 spliceosomal RNA